rnacentral:rRNA from 1 species
CGGCCGUAACUAUAACGGUCCUAAGGUAGCGAAAUUCCUUGUCGGGUAAGUUCCGACCUGCACGAAUGGCGUAAUGAUGGCCAGGCUGUCUCCACCCGAGACUCAGUGAAAUUGAACUCGCUGUGAAGAUGCAGUGUACCCGCGGCAAGACGGAAAGACCCCGUGAACCUUUACUAUAGCUUGACACUGAACAUUGAGCCUUGAUGUGUAGGAUAGGUGGGAGGCUUUGAAGUGUGGACGCCAGUCUGCAUGGAGCCGACCUUGAAAUACCACCCUUUAAUGUUUGAUGUUCUAACGUGGACCCGUAAUCCGGGUUGCGGACAGUGUCUGGUGGGUAGUUUGACUGGGGCGGUCUCCUCCUAAAGAGUAACGGAGGAGCACGAAGGUUGGCUAAUCCUGGUCGGACAUCAGGAGGUUAGUGCAAUGGCAUAAGCCAGCUUGACUGCGAGCGUGACGGCGCGAGCAGGUGCGAAAGCAGGUCAUAGUGAUCCGGUGGUUCUGAAUGGAAGGGCCAUCGCUCAACGGAUAAAAGGUACUCCGGGGAUAACAGGCUGAUACCGCCCAAGAGUUCAUAUCGACGGCGGUGUUUGGCACCUCGAUGUCGGCUCAUCACAUCCUGGGGCUGAAGUAGGUCCCAAGGGUAUGGCUGUUCGCCAUUUAAAGUGGUACGCGAGCUGGGUUUAGAACGUCGUGAGACAGUUCGGUCCCUAUCUGCCGUGGGCGCUGGAGAACUGAGGGGGGCUGCUCCUAGUACGAGAGGACCGGAGUGGACGCAUCACUGGUGUUCGGGUUGUCAUGCCAAUGGCACUGCCCGGUAGCUAAAUGCGGAAGAGAUAAGUGCUGAAAGCAUCUAAGCACGAAACUUGCCCCGAGAUGAGUUCUCCCUGACUCCUUGAGAGUCCUGAAGGAACGUUGAAGACGACGACGUUGAUAGGCCGGGUGUGUAAGCGCAGCGAUGCGUUGAGCUAACCGGUACUAAUGAACCGUGAGGCUUAACCUU